rnacentral:rRNA from 1 species
UGGGGAAUAUUGGACACUGGGCGCAAGCCUGAUCCAGCCAUGCCGCGUGAGUGAUGAAGGCCCUAGGGUUGUAAAGCUCUUUCGCCGGUGAAGAUAAUGACGGUAACCGGUAAAGAAGCACCGGCUAACUUCGUGCCAGGCGCGCCGGUAAUACGAAGGGGGCUAGCGUUGUUCGGAAUUACUGGGCGUAAAGCGCGCGUAGGCGGGUCAUUAAGUCAGGGGUGAAAUCCCGGGGCUCAACCUCGGAAUUGCCUCUGAUACUGGUGACCUCGAGUCCGAGAGAGGUGAGUGGAACUCCGAGUGUAGAGGUGAAAUUCGUAGAUAUUCGGAAGAACACCAGUGGCGAAGGCGGCUCACUGGCUCGGUACUGACGCUGAGGUGCGAAAGCGUGGGGAGCAAACAGGAUUAGAUACCCCUGUAGUCC